UACGUACGCUGGCGGCACGCCUAACACAUGCAAGUCGAACGAAGUAGCAAUACUUAGUGGCAGACGGGUGAGUAACAUGUAGGUAUCUGCCCUUUGGCCUGGAAUAACACGAGGAAACUUGUGCUAAUACCGGAUAAGUCUUACGGAGAAAGCUUUAUGCACCAUUGGAUGAGCCUGCACUUGAUUAGUUUGUUGGUGGGGUAAUGGCCUACCAAGACUGUGAUCAAUAGCUGAUUUGAGAGGAUGAUCAGCCACAUUGGGACUGAGACACGGCCCAAACUCCUACGGGAGGCAGCAGUGGGGAAUCUUGCACAAUGGAGGAAACUCUGAUGCAGCGAUGCCGCGUGAGUGGAGAAGGCCCUUGGGUUGUAAAGCUCUUUCGUCGGGGAAGAAAAUGACUGUACCCGAAUAAGAAGGUCCGGCUAACUUCGUGCCAGCAGCCGCGGUAAUACGAAGGGACCUAGCGUAGUUCGGAAUUACUGGGCUUAAAGAGUUCGUAGGUGGUUGAAAAAGUUAGUGGUGAAAUCCCAGAGCUUAACUCUGGAACUGCCAUUAAAACUUUUCAGCUAGAGUAUGAUAGAGGAGAGCAGAAUUUCUAGUGUAGAGGUGAAAUUCGUAGAUAUUAGAAAGAAUACCAAUUGCGAAGGCAGCUUUCUGGAUCAUUACUGACACUGAGGAACGAAAGCAUGGGUAGCGAAGAGGAUUAGAUACCCUCGUAGUCCAUGCCGUAAACGAUGUGUGUUAGACGUUGGAAAUUUAUUUUCAGUGUCGCAGGGAAACCGAUAAACACACCGCCUGGGGAGUACGACCGCAAGGUUAAAACUCAAAUGAAUUGACGGGGACCCGCACAAGUAGUGGAGCAUGUGGUUUAAUUCGAAGAUACGCGCAGAACCUUACCAACACUUGACAUGUUCGUCGCGACUCUAAGAGAUUAGAGUUUUCGGUUCGGCCGGACGAAACACAGGUGCUGCAUGGCUGUCGUCAGCUCGUGUCGUGAGAUGUUGGGUUAAGUCCCGCAACGAGCGCAACCCUCACUUUUAGUUGCCAUCAUUAAGUUGGGCACUCUGAAAGAACUGCCAGUGAUAAGCUGGAGGAAGGUGGGGAUGACGUCAAGUCCUCAUGGCCCUUACGUGUUGGGCUACACACGUGCUACAAUGGUAUCUACAACAGGAAGCAAGACUGCGAAGUUAAGCAAAUCCCUAAAAGAUACCUCAGUUCGGAUUGCACUCUGCAACUCGAGUGCAUGAAAGCUGGAAUUACUAGUAAUCGUGAAUCAGCGUGCCACGGUGAAUGCGUUCCCGGGUCU
rnacentral:rRNA from 1 species